UGUGGGAGCGAGCCUGCUCGCGAUGGCGGCGUGCCAGUCAACAUCAACGUGACUGAUUCGACGCCAUCGCGAGCAGGCUCGCUCCCACA
rnacentral:misc_RNA from 1 species